rnacentral:lncRNA from 1 species
UAACCGGUUAACGCGAAACAGAAUGCACUUCCUGGUAGAUUUUUAACAGUGUUAACCGGUUAACGAUUUUGGUUAACCGGUUAACGCAAAACAGAAUACAAUUUCUACGCAGAUUUUUAACAAGUAACCGGUUAACGCUCGGAGGGUAACCGGUUAACACAAAACAGAAUGCAGAAUUUUCUGCAUUUUUCAUCGUUGGAGGACAUUCGGGCCUCCGAUUUCGAUUCCGUAAAAAGCCAAACGCUCAGAAAAUUAUAACUCAUACAAUAC